UACCAGCUCCCCGAGUGGUCGGGACGAUUAUUGGGCCUAAAGCAUCCGUAGCCGGUUCUACAAGUCUUCCGUUAAAUCCACCUGCUUAACAGAUGGGCUGCGGAGGAUACUAUAGAGCUAGGAGGCGGGAGAGGCAAGCGGUACUUAGUGGGUAGGGGUAAAAUCCGUUGAUCCAUUGAAGACCACCAGUGGCGAAGGCGGCUUGCCAGAACGCACUCGACGGUGAGGGAUGAAAGCUGGGGGAGCAAACCGG
rnacentral:rRNA from 1 species